UAGGGAAUCUUCCGCAAUGGACGAAAGUCUGACGGAGCAACGCCGCGUGAGUGAUGAAGGCUUUCGGGUCGUAAAACUCUGUUGUUAGGGAAGAACAAGUACAAGAGUAACUGCUUGUACCUUGACGGUACCUAACCAGAAAGCCACGGCUAACUACGUGCCAGCAGCCGCGGUAAU
rnacentral:rRNA from 1 species